UGCCACUGUAGAUAAAACUCCAAAGAAAUAAAAGCUUGCUCUGUAAUGAAUUCCUAGGUUGUUCUUUAAGUUAAAGAAUGAAACUAUCCAGUACAAUAGUUAAUGAUUUAUUUUAUAUUAAUGAACUAAUACAACUCAUCUUGCAGACCAAAGGGAUGGUAUCACAGUGUCCAUAGGUCUGCGCCUCAGACACCAUUGUGCUCCAGUACGAGAGUAUGUAGGAAGGGGGAAGGCCCGCUGCCACUCCAGUUCCUUCUCAAACACCUGCGGCCUGAGAAGGAGCGUUGCAGUGUCCAUUAACUAACUACGCAGCUUGCUGCCUCUCUCACUUAAUUUUGUUUCUUUUUUUCAGUAUUUUCUUUGUUUUUGUUUUACUACACUUUGUGUAUUUUUGGGAAGGGGGGUUUCCCCUUCCCUUCUUCUUUUGCAUGAUUUGGGCCUUUGUUUUUUGUCAGGCCUAAAUCUGCAGCCUUAAGCAUGGAGAAGAAGAGACCCCCUUCUUGAGAAUGGGAGAAGAGAAAGGGAAAGUCACCCCCUUGGUCUGGGUCUCAGUAGACCUCGCACCACAUUACAGGUACAAAGCUCCCAUACCCACCAGUACUGAGAUCAUGGCACCAGGCCAGAAAACGACGCUGUGUACUGAGAAGCUGUCUAGUAAACCAAUUAGGGCUGCACCAGAAUCUGUGCGUUCGAAAUACAAGGACUACAGAGCCAAGUUGAAAUUGUUGUCAGUACCGCUUUCAGUAGCUAAACGCGAAAGACUUACUGAUCACACUUCGAUACUGUCUCCAGUACCCCGGCAUAUUGACACCUGAGGUUCCCUAUGCGGAGUCCCCAUACUGGCCAGUAUUCAGUCCCAUGAGGACCUUCAAAUCCUGGAAAAAGCCUGAAUUACCGUUGCUGAGAGGUAUCAAAAGACAUUCCUCAGCCUCACCACAGUUCAGAGGAGUCAAUUACCAAGCCCUGAUAGCAAAAUACAAUUUUACCAAUUAUUCCAAGUUUUUCAUCUGUUGUUGAACAUCUGCCACAGGAUCAAAGAAAACAAUUUCACCCCUCACAACAGAAGACCAGACAAUCACCAAGCUAUCUGUCGGGCCUCUUUCAAUACUGCUCACACAGCUGCACAUUCCAUGGGCACAGCAGUAGUCCUGCUCUAAGCUUCUUGGCUGCAAUCCUCUGGUCUUCCCCAAAAGA